GAGCUGGCUAUGUUGAGGCUGGAAAAGAGGAGACCGAGAGGAGAUCAUCUUCAAAUAUCUCAAGGGCUGUCACAUGGAAGAUGGAGCAAGCUUGUUUUCUCCUGCUCCAUAGGGUGGGACCCCAAGCGAUGGCUUCAAGUUACAAGAAAGGAUAUUCCGGCUAGACAUCAGGAACAACUUUCUGGCGGUAAGAGCAGUUUGACUGUGGAACAGUUUCCCUUGGGAGGUGGUGGACUCUCCUUCCUUGGAGGUUUUUAAGCAGAGAUUGGCUGGCCAUCUGUCAUGGAUGCUGUAGCUAAGAUUCCAGUAUUGCUGGGGGCUGGUCUAGAUGACCCUUGAUGUAUCUUCCAACCCUACAAUUCUAUUUUUAUUUUUAUUUGCAAUGGAACAAGCUCUAUUAACAAUCUUACAAUACAUUACAUAUAUAUGGUACAUCUUGUAGAGUAAAUUGAGAUUUCAAUCAUACACACACACAUACACACACAAAACAUAUACUUGUCUUUUCUUACAUAGUUAUAAACCUUAAGCUUCAGCUGUGUUUAUGCUACUUUUUAUGCGGUUAUUAACAAAGAUUAUUAACAAAAAAUAUCAUAAAAACUUUGGACUUCCUGUCAACUCCCGUUGUAUGCUUUUAUUCUAAUAGUGAAUGCACCAUAUAUUCUCUAAUACAUUCUUACAACAAUUUGCACCGUUAAUCUUAUUUCUCCUAUAUUUCUUUAUCCAAGGUCAUUCAAAUACUGCCAUAGACGAAAAAUCAUUGCUAUAUUUUUGUACAUAUCUCUUGUAUUUAUCCCAUUUUUGUGCAAAUUCUUGUCUUGAACUGCCCCUUGGGCUGCUGGUCAAUUGCGCCAUUUCCACAUAUUCUUGUAACUUAUUCUGCCAAUCCAUUAUACAAACUCUAAAAUUCAAUGACUCUGUGGUACACGACCACUUCAUGGACAGCUGCUAAUGAGAAUUAGAGUCACUAUUCCACUGUGGAUUCUUCAAUGUAUAACAAACAUGGUUCAUGCAGAAUGUUCAUGCAUGGUUCAUGCAUGGUUCAUGCAGAAAGGGGAGAGCUUGGAGAGACAGGGGGAGGUAAUUAGGCAGGAAUGCGGAACGAGGGAGGAGCAGCCAAGUUGCAGUAGAAGCCUGAGAUCCAAGAACAUGGAGAAGGAAGGGGGGAGUUCCAGGGAGAAGACGCAGACUGACAGUUGACGCUUGGACUCAGAGGGAGGGCCACCACCGGAAAAAGCCCAUCCCAUGAUGCGCAGGUGAGCAAGAAUUAAUGAGAGGCGUAAACAGGAAAGGAAGUGUAAGUGGGGCUUUAAAAGUGGGAAGAGGAAGGGGCGGAACUCAGACUCAGCAACAGCUAAUUUGGAAGCAGACGCUGAGUGACUGAGCUCCAGUGUGAUUAAUAAUAAUAAUAAUUUAUUAUUUAUACCACGCCCAUCUGGCUGGGUUUCCCCGGCCACUCUGGGCGGCUUCCAACAGAAUAUUAAAAUACAAUAAUCUAUUAAACAUUAAAGGCUUCCCUAAACAGGGCUGCCUUCAGGUGUCUUCUAAAAGUCUAGUAGUUGUUUUUGACAUUUGGUGGGAGGGCAUUCCACAGGGCGGGUGCCACCACCAAGAAGGCCCUCUGCCUGGUUCCCUGUAAUUUGGCUUCUCGCAGGGAGGGAACCACCAGAAGGCCCUCGGUGCUGGACCUCAGUGUCUGGGCAGAAUGAUGGGGGUGGAGACACUCCUUCAGGUAUACCUGACCGAGGCCAUUUUGCGUGUUUUGAGCAAUAAACCUGAGUUAAUUGCUGCCGGAGUUGUCUCGCUUCUGUGGGAGAGACCCAACCAUUACACAGAAUGAUGAAGUGAGCAGAAUUUCUUAGAAACCUAGAUAGAAAUACAGUAGUAUGAAGAGUAUGAUACUGUCUGUAUUACUCUUAGUUUUUCUGGAGCAAUGGACUGCUCAGAACAUUUGUCAUGUGAGCAACGAAAGAUGUGGUAAUGUCUGAAAAACCUAUAUUUGUUUUUCAGUGCUGUUAAUGAGAUUUGCCAUCUUACAGGGCCUUGUUUUUCAGUUCAAUUUUUUAUUUUUCUGGUGAAUUUCUUACUUCUGCUUUAAAGCAGAUGACUUGGCAUGGCUUUAAUUCGCUUUGCUUAUGGUAUUAAGCACCAUGAGCCAAGCUAUGUUCUUGGACAUUCCUGGAAUGCAUUUUGGAGAAUGAGGUUAUAUUAGUGACUUGAGGUAAAGUAUAAGCAAGAGAGACAGUGAUAAAUGUUCCUUGGCUUUGUCUUCCUUUGAACAUUUCCAAAAUGUAUUCUCAAUCCUUAUUUUUCAUUAUACAGUAGAAGUCCAGAAUUAGCAGGGCAAGUAGGAUGCAAGCCACACAUGGUAAACAUGGGCUUCAGUCAGAAGAGGACUGUAGAAAACUCAUGCUGUGCAAGUCCAUUAUAUUUUAUUAAGUUUCAACAUUUUUGAAAUAUACAAUCAAAACCCAAUUUCUUCUUUUCUUUAAUUUUUGUUGACUUCCCACCCUGUUUUCCAUGGAGUUGUUGUUUCUCCCUUUUCUCAUGCACCCUAUCUUCUGUCUUUAAAAUCAUAACCAUGAUUGUUGUCGUUUAGUCGUGUCCGACUCUUUGUGACCCCAUGGACCAGAGCACGCCAGGCACUUCUGUCUUCCACUGCCUCCCGCAGUUUGGUCAGACUCAUGCUGGUAGCUUCGAGAACACUGUCCAACCAUCUCGUCCUCUGUCGUCCCCUUCUCCUUGUGCCCUCCAUCUUUCCCAGCAUCAGGGUCUUUUCCAGGGAGUCUUCUCUUCUCAUGAGGUGGCCAAAGUAUUGGAGCCUCAGCUUCAGGAUCUGUCCUUCCAGUGAGCACUCAGGGCUGAUUUCAUAUUAUCAUAACCAUGAUAAUAUAAUCCAAUUACUUCCUUUGCUCAUGACUCAAAUCCUGCUCAUGAGUUCAUCAUACCAUAAUAUUUCUUUACUUUUUUAUGAUGCUCAAUUUUAUGCAUUUCAAAAAAAUUUAAAUCAUUUUAACAUUUCAAAUCUCUACUUCCUUCCUCCUCUUUCUGCGGUUCUUUACAUUUAUUUUUAUAUUUUCCGCAUAUUCCAAAUUAGCUUAAUUUACUCAUUUGUUCAUCUACUUUAAAUAUAUACCGUAUUUUUCGCACCAUAGGACGCAGUUUUUCCAUCUUAAAAACUAAGGGGAAAAGUCUGUGCGUCCUAUGGAGCGAAUGCGGGGGGGGGGCAAGCAGGAAAAGCCCCCAAGAGCCACACACAAGCUUCACGCGGCUCUUGCGGGCUUUUCCCCAGGAGGGAGAAGGGACUGACGCGGCCAGUCAGUCCCUUCUCCCUUCUCUAGAAAAGCCUUGCGCAAACUCUCCAGCCGCGGGAGGCUGUGCGAGGCUAAAGAAGCCAACUUUUUAAAAAUCUCUCUCUCUAUCUACCUCUUUUUCUUUUUUCGUCCUUUCUCCACCCCCUUCUUUUCCUCUGGAUCAGUGUUUUUAUCUAGAUUAACGUUUUAGUUUGGAGGGGGGGAUAUUAUAAAAAAUGAAACUUUGCAGCUUUUAUUUUAGUAUACAAUAAAAACAGAUUAAACAAAACACAAAAGAAGGAAAUAGCAUAGAAGAAGAAGAGAAAAGGGAAAGAAGGGGGAUACAAAGCCAUUUACCAGAGGUAGAUCUUAACCCUUGCCUCACCUGGGAGCUUCUCUGGGCAGGAAUUCCCUCGGCUUAAGUGGGGUGUGUGGCAGGUAGGGGGGGUACCUACCUAGACACUGAAGCCACAUGUCUCUCUAAUGAAAAUUGGGAGUGGGCAUUGUGUGAAGUGGCUGUGGAUCUCCUGCCACAGAAGUGUAGGACUGUAUAGAGUUGGGAGGGCCACCCGAGGGUCAUCUAGCCCAGCCCCCUCACAAUGUAGGAAUCACUGCUAAAGAACGCCAGGCAGAUGGUCCCCCAACCACUGCUUAAAAGCCUCCAGUGGUGGAGACCCCCAACACCUUCCAAGGUCACAGAACUGCAGGGUUGGAAGGGAACCCCAGGAGUCAUCUAGUCCAGCCCCGGUGGAAAGCGGGCACGAUCCAUCCCGUUGUGCAAGGCUAAAGAUGCUGCUCAAGGCUAAAGAGGAAGCCAAGGCAGCGAGCGGGAUGGAUCGCGCUCGCUGCCUUGUCUUCUUCUUUAGCUGCGCUGGAGAGGUUUAGCUCCUGGCUGGAGAGGUUGCGCGGCUAUGGAUCCCACUCGCUGUCUUGGCUUCUUUGCUCUUUGGGGGGGAAAUAAUAUUUUCCCCCUUGAUUUCCCCCUCUAAAAACUAGGUGCGUCCUGUGGUCCGGUGCGUCCAAUAGAGCAAAAAAUACGGUACUCUUAUAAACUGCAGGCUAUUACAAUAAUCCUGCCAAUGUUCUUAUCUGUUUACAGGUUUUUGUGUGUGUGAAUAGUCAAUAAACCGUUUCCAUUCUUUUAUAAAUAGUUUGUUAUCUUGAUUUCUUAUUUUUUCCAGUAAGUUUCGCCAUUUCUGCAUAUUCCGUAAGUUUUUGUAUCCAUCCUUCUUUCGCUGGGACUUCUUCUUCUUUCCCUUUUUGGGCAAGUACCAUUCUUGCCACAGUAGUUGCAUACAUGAAUAAAUUUCUAUAUAGUUUUCGCCCAUUUACUAUAAUAUUUCUUUAAGUAGUCUGAAAAAGGCAACCAUUCUUCCAUAAAGCACUCAUCAUUAGGUUCUCUUAAUUUUGCUGUUAAUAUUGCCCGUUCUGCAUUGUUCAUUAUCUUACUCAUCCAUUCUUUGGUGGGGACGACUUCUUCCUUCCAUUUCAGUGCAUAAAGAAUCCUAGCCGCUUGUGCUGGGCCUGGCGGUUAACCUGAGCCACGCGGUCCAGGUCCAGUCCCGAAUCUAAGGAUUCCACGAGGAGUCAGUCCAACAGGGCCAAGGCAGGAAACCAGGCAAGGUCAGGCACAAGGUCUCAGGCAGGUUCCAGCAAGCAGCAAUGUUGCUCCCGAAACCUGGGGUGGGGUCUGGCAGCCUUUUAUCUCUGACGGGGUAUCAGCCGGUCCUGAUCCCCCCGGUGACUCACCUCCCUGUUUCGCCCAAAGGCAAGCACUCCUCCUGCGAGUACUCAGGUCUCCCCUUCUCUCAGACCUGAGUCUCUGCAGCUUGGGAGAUGUCGGUGGGUUACUAGACCCAGAGGCCGCCUCAGCCUCUCCUGACCCAACUGGUAGUGGAGCAGCUGUACUUGACUGCCCAGCAGAGAGCAACGAGGUAAUCCCCACAUGUGGAGCCAGGGCAGGCUCAGGCCCCUGACUUGGCCAGCUGGUGCUUGUUUUAGGGGAACCUGUGCAGACUGGGACUCUUCAGAAUCAGGCCCCAGACUCGGUUCAGAUACCGCCUGAGGCAGAGGAUCCGGUGCGGACUGAGAUUCCUCCGGCUCUGAGUCAGAGCCCUAGUGCCAGGCCAUCACACCACUGUUGUUACAUACAUAAACAACUUUAACAUUUUCUUUGGAAUUUCUACCCCGAUAACCCCUAACAACACUCUCCUCACUUCAGAGGCAUACUGUCUCUUGGCAGUAUAUGUAAAACAGAGCCAUCAUAACCCUCCAACUACCCCUAUUUUCCAGGGACAGUCCCAGAUUUAUAGAAGCUGUCCUGGUUUCUGAUUUGAUCCUGGAAUGUCCCGUUUUUCCUUAGGAUGCCCCUAUUUUCAUUGGAGAAAUGUUGGAGGGUAUGGAAUAGGAGGUCCCUAUUUUUCAGCGGGGAGUCACUGUCAUUAUAAGAGAACAAGGGAGGCAUUCGUGGUGAGUUCUGGUACCUCUUUUUUUUUUUGCAAAAAUAGGACCAGAUGUCCCUAUUUUCAUCGGAGAAAUCAGAUCUUCCAUACCAACACAAGAAUGGUCGGGGAGUGAGACAGCAAGGACACACGGUCUCCUCCUCACAAGAUAAAAAUGUCUGAAAUGGGUUCUUGGAAAGGCAUGCUGUUCUCUUAAAUCCUUGAAGAAGGUGACAUUGGUUGAGCUAUGCACUAAUUGUUCUUUCAGAAGAAUCCUCUCUGGCCUGCGAAAACAGUUUUUGAAUGCAGCAAAUAUGCUAAAAGAAAACAUCAUCAUUUGCUGGUCAACAACGCCAUAAAGCAAUCCUUUGUUUGAACUGGACAACCACACAAAUUAUUUGUUUAUCAAGAUUUUCUGUUUUAAUUUAUUCUUCUCAUUGCACAGUUGUCCUUUCAACACGUUCCUGAAAACUUUCUGUAUUGUCUCACACAAUCUUCAAGUCCUGAGGCGGUGAAGUACUGGCCCAGACCACUUGUCACUUUGAAGCAUCCAAUUUUGAAUAGUUACUUCUUUAGCCGCUUCUGGCUGAGCACACGGAAGUUCAUUCAUUUUGCAAUGCAAGGCCUGAUCAAAAGGCUGUUUUGCUGCUGCCUGAGGCUUCCUGCCAUUGUUGGUAUACAUACUGUUGGUACGUUCCCAAAAUUCAUCCGUCAGUGAUCAUCAAGUGUUAUCAGAAAUCAAAUGGCGAAACGCUUUCUGCUCGUUGUGGCAAAGUUCUCCCCAGCUUACCCCGGACAUCUGCUGAACAACUGUAUUAUCAAAGGUUUUCAUUCAUCCCAACAGGUGGCUUUCAAUUACUUGCAUAUGGAUCAGUAUUGCAGGAAUGGUUUUGUUAGAUGCUGCAGGAACAUCUUCCAAGUUUCUUUUCCUUCCUGUUUAUAGUCACAAUGAGUUCAGUCUCAACUUCAUUCGAUAUAGGACUCCUCUUCAAAUUGUUAUGCUUUGCACUGCAAUAAAUAUUUGCUUUCCAUCCUGUGUCUACUGAAAGACCACAAACUUGCCUGAUGAAAACUGAAGAAAACGACUAGGAACAAGAACCAUUGGGAUAAUAAUUGCAUUUCCCCCUCCCCUCUCCAACUACUUUAAGCUUUUGUUAGCAAAUAAUAAUAAUAAUUUACACCCCGCCCUCCCCAGCCAAGACCGGGCUCAGGGCAGCUAACACCAGGUAUAAAAACAAUUGAUUAAAAUACAACUUAAAAACUGUUAGGUUGUGGGUGAACAUAUCAGACGACACAGCGAUUCUUCAAACAGCUCUUCUUUAUUCUGAGGCCAGAACUGAACUGAACUGAAGGGCUCAGUCAGCCUGCUUAUAUAGAGCUCCAGUACCUUGUUACUGUAACAACCUUCUAAAACUAUCCAAUCACUGAACGUCACUUUCGAUCCUUCAUAACUAUCUACAGUAUCUAUCCAAUCACUGAACAUCACUUUCGAUCCUUCAUUUGCAUAACUAUCUACAGUAUCCCCCUGCUGGCCCAGGGUGAGAACUUCAGUACAUAACAAAAACAAGAUUAAAAUACAACAUUCCCAAUGUGAUCCCAAUGUGACCAGCUGUCUGUCAUUGGGUAUUUUGCAUCCAGCAGCAUGGAGACUUUAAGUUCUUAAAUCUAGCGGUGUGAUGUAUUGGCAAGUCUAACCCGACACAUUUCAGCAUUUGUCUUCUCCUGCCCCUUUGCAGGUAAACCUAAUCCAGACAUAUAUUCAGUGUAGAUCCUUAUUGUCUACAGCUUUCAACAUCUAACUCCUUGUUAUAUUUCAAAACCACAUGGAUAAAGACCAUCAGGCCCAGAUUCCCCUGGUUAACUUUCCAAACUUUGAUCCUAAGUGUAACAUAAGCACAAGUUUCAUACAUCUGCAAACACUUCCCUGAACUGAAAGCAACUUCAUAACGUUUAUGCAAGAAUACGAAUUUCUUAAUAGAUAUCUUGGAUUCCAGUACUUGUCAAACUGGCAGCUGGCCUUUUCCAACACAGAUAGACAACCCCAUAACAGAAAUGUGUGUUUGCUACUUGUAGCAAUGGAUGACUUCAGACAUCAUGCAAGUCUAGAGACACCUCCAGAUGUUGUUGGACUCCAACCCCCAUUAGCCUGAGCAAGCAUGGCCAGAGGUCAGGGGUGAUGGGAUUUGUAGUCCAGCAGAAGACCACAGGUUGACUACAGGAGCAAGCCGAGCCUUAUCCUGGACUUGCAUGUUUCCCACCCAGCAUGCAGCCAAGGAAAACAUGUGGGGAAAUUUUGCUUCCUCUUUCUGGAGAAUUUCUAUACUAAUAUAUUUCCUCGCACACAAGGGUAAGAUUUACAGAAUGAUCCAAUGAGUCAGUUGGGUACAUACUUCUCAGACAUCUGGGGAAUAGUUCAACAUAUCUUUCGAACUGGUCAUAAGAUGUUCACAUAGCAGUCCAUUUUCUGAAUAUUUGGUUUCUGGGGAUGGGUUGGCCCACAAGAUUUGUGGUUAUCUCCACAAAGGAGCCGAAUAAAAUAGGUUUCUUUUGACGGAAACCCAAGAAAAGGAAAAGUGCCAUUUGUCUGGGCUUUGUGAAGCGUGAAGCCCAAUUCUUUAAGCAAUUGCCCUGAUGUGAAACAGAGCAGGCCUAGGCAUGCAAAAACGCUUAGCUCACACUGACAGGUACUACACAUAUUGCCAACUUCACUUUGUGUAUGUUUUGGCUUGGGUCCUUAGAUAUUUUAAAUUUCCCAUCCCACCUUAUGCGGCAGUUUCCUGCACCUCUUCCAAAAAAACCUUCUCUGGGUGGGUUGGGGAAAUUCUCUUCAACAAUGUGGGAUGGAAUAUCAUCCAGAACUGGUCUUGGAACCUGAGAUAAGUUCACUUAAGGACAUUACUCGAGAGCCUGUCCACCCCCUACCUUUUUGAAAGGCUUUUUUCCUGAGGAAUGCAGGUGGGAGGAAGGAAUGGGAAACUUUCCUCGCAUGAACUUCCUUAAGGAUCCAAUCUAUAAUGCAUUUGACUUAAACACACACACACACACACAUCGCCACAUUGCAGUCACAACUGGAAAUAGAUUUGCUUCAGUUCCCAGAGUUUUCUUUAGUUCUUAAGCCACUAAGUGUUGGUGAUGGUUUAAAUGGGACUUGUUAGGAGACACCUCUUGACAAGGGGCAAUGCAGGGAAAAAAUGUUCAAUCAUUUUCUGGCCACGUUGCUCUAAUAUUUGGGGGGGCAGGUUGGGAAGAUGAUGGGAGUAGAAAGACAGGCAAGGGUGUUGGGCUUCUCUGUUGACUUGUGUAUAUAAUAUCAACAUUUUAAUUGAAGGAUAAAGGUAAAGGUAAAGGGACCCCUGACCAUUAGGUCCAGUCGUGGCUGACUCUGGGGUUGCGGCGCUCAUCUCGCAUUAUUGGCCGAGGGAGCCGGCAUACAGCUUCUGGGUCAUGUGGCCGGCAUGACUAAGCUGUUUCUGGCAAACCAGAGCAGCGCACGGAAACGCCGUUUACCUUCCCGCUGGAGCGGUACCUAUUUAUCUACUUGCACUUUGACAUGCUUUCGAACUGCUAGGUUGGCAGGAGCAGGGACCGAGCAACGGGAGCUCACCCCGUCGCAGGGGUUCGAACUGCCGACCUGAUCGGCAAGUCCUAGGUUCUGUGGUUUAGGAUAUAUUACUUGAUAGGACACAAGUUGAUGCACAUGUGACCUAGCAAGUAUGUAUUUACCCAUUGUCAUUUGGGAAAGCUUUGCAUUGCAAGUUGUUCUAUAAAUGUAUCUAUCUAUCUAUCUAUCUAUCUAUCUAUCUAUUUAUCUUGGGGAGGGGGGAGAGAAAGGGAGAGUAUAAGAGCAGAAACACCCACAAGGCAAAAUUCAAGCAAUCCUGCUCUAUUCUGCUGCCCAGAUUGGAUUUCCUAAAUGAUCAAGCAAAGGAGGGGACCCUCCUUGUCCUAUCCAGCGCCAAAGACAGUUGCUGCUACUUACCAAGAGGAAAAAGAAGAUGCUUCUCAGGUCAAAACCCAUUCAGAGGAUCUCAGGAGCAGUGGAAGCCUCUGUAGAAACGAUUUGCCACAAAAGGCUCUUCCACAUUGAAACGGGAUGCAUUUUUAAAGUUCUCCAGAGUACUUCGCUCUUCUCCCAAGAUGACCUUUCCUGGUCUUUUCUUCCCUGCUACCUAACCUUUCCCUUCUCCAGCCUGUCUUCUUUGCUGAUUCCACCACAAGAGAGGAGAAGAGUGAGCCUACCCUUGCCCUGGGAGAAUCUCUUACUAACCUGAUUUGCUCUUUGGGAAUCAAUCCAGUCCUAUAAAUUCCUUAGCCAGCAGCGGUAGACGAUGGUCCUGGUGUUUUGUAGAUUGUGUAGAGUUGGGGCGUGAGGGGUGAAUCAGCGUUCUGACCUAACUCCUUCAGGUGUGGGGCUUCCCCCCUCCCCACUGCUGUUUUGGCUGGCAAAGCCAUGCCCAUUGGUAACGGCUCUGCAAGGACAAUUUGGAGAUGGAUCUGAACUGCUGCUGAACCUUUUGUUGGUUGCCGCUGAGAUGCUGGAGUUCCAGUGGGAUGAUCUAUCAAGUGAUUUUCCUGGCCUCGCUUGUCCACCAUUCUUGGCCAAAGAACGCGGAGAAAAUUAGCUGAAUAGUUUCUACGUGGAGCGGUUUUGGGGCUGGGGGGGGCGGGGGGCGGACAGGAUGUAUAAAUAUGAUACAUCCCUCUGGGGCUUACUGGAAAAUGAACACUAUGCCCAAGUAUUGACUUUCAUCGUCGUCAUAAUUCUAACAGUAUUUAUUAUCAUUUCCAGCUAUAAUAGUGAGAAUGUGCCGUUUUACAAGGAGGUUUUGCAUCUCACUGUUACUACCUGCAUCCUGCCGUCGGAUCAGCAGCCAAAGCAGGAAUGGGGAACCUGUGACCUUCCAUCAACUCCAAUUCCCAUCAACCUCAGCCAGCAGAAGCCCAUGAUCAGGUAUGAUGAGAGUCGUAGUUCAACAUCUGAAGGGCUGUUCCCAGCUCUGUUACAAAACUUGGGCGCUACCCCCCAUUUUCUGCCAAGCCGCAGCAAGAUUCCAGGGGGUUCCAGAGUCUGUGUUCCUUAGGAGACAUGGCAGAGACAGUUGCAUGGCGAGUUUCCGUCCCCCCCCCAGUGGAAAUAAAGAC